rnacentral:rRNA from 1 species
UGAGUAACCUGCCCUGGACUUUGGGAUAACCCUCGGAAACGGGGGCUAAUACCGGAUAUGACGGCUCACCGCAUGGUGUGGUUGUGGAAAGUUUUUCGGUCUGGGAUGGGCUCGCGGCCUAUCAGCUUGUUGGUGGGGUGAUGGCCUACCAAGGCGACGACGGGUAGCCGGCCUGAGAGGGUGACCGGCCACACUGGGACUGAGACACGGCCCAGACUCCUACGGGAGGCA